rnacentral:tRNA from 1 species
GUCAGGAUGGCCGAGUGGUCUAAGGCGCCAGACUNCAGGGUGGUCACCUUCUCUCAAAACCAGCGAGAGUCUAUUGGGUGUUCUGGUCUCUGUAUAGAGGCGUGGGUUCGAACCCCACUCCUGACA